rnacentral:snoRNA from 1 species
GAGACUAUACUUUCAGGGAUCAUUUCUAUAGUUUGUUACUAGAGAAGUUCCUCUGAACGUGUAGAGUACCCGAAACCACGAGGAGGAGGCACAAGGUUCUCUCCUGAGCCAGAGGCUAGCUUUAG